UGGGGAAUUUUGGACAAUGGGCGAAAGCCUGAUCCAGCAAUGCCGCGUGUGUGAAGAAGGCCUUCGGGUUGUAAAGCACUUUUGUCCGGAAAGAAAUCCUUGGCUCUAAUACAGUCGGGGGAUGACGGUACCGGAAGAAUAAGCACCGGCUAACUACGUGCCAGCAGCCGCGGUAAUACGUAGGGUGCAAGCGUUAGUCGGAAUUACUGGGCGUAAAGCGUGCGCAGGCGGUUUGCUAAGACCGAUGUGAAAUCCCCGGGCUCAACCUGGGAACUGCAUUGGUGACUGGCAGGCUAGAGUAUGGCAGAGGGGGGUAGAAUUCCACGUGUAGCAGUGAAAUGCGUAGAGAUGUGGAGGAAUACCGAUGGCGAAGGCAGCCCCCUGGGCCAAUACUGACGCUCAUGCACGAAAGCGUGGGGAGCAAACAGGAUUAGAUACCCUGGUAGUCCACGCCCUAAACGAUGUCAACUAGUUGUUGGGGAUUCAUUUCCUUAGUAACGUAGCUAACGCGUGAAGUUGACCGCCUGGGGAGUACGGUCGCAAGAUUAAAACUCAAAUGAAUUGACGGGGUCAUAGCUGUUUCCU
rnacentral:rRNA from 1 species